CCUACGGGAGGCAGCAGUGGGGAAUAUUGCACAAUGGGGGGAACCCUGAUGCAGCGACGCCGCGUGAGUGAAGAAGUAUUUCGGUAUGUAAAGCUCUAUCAGCAGGGAAGAAAAUGACGGUACCUGAGUAAGAAGCCCCGGCUAACUACGUGCCAGCAGCCGCGGUAAUACGUAGGGGGCAAGCGUUAUCCGGAUUUACUGGGUGUAAAGGGAGCGUAGACGGCAGUGCAAGUCUGGAGUGAAAGGCCGCGGCUCAACUCCGGGACUGCUUUGGAAACUGUCCGGCUAGAGUGCAGGAGAGGUAAGCGGAAUGUCUAGUGUAGCGGUGAAAUGCGUAGAUAUCAGGCGGAACACCAGUGGCGAAGGCGGCUUACUGGACUGUAACUGACGUUGAGGCUCGAAAGCGUGGGGAGCAAACAGGAUUAGAUACCCCGGUAGUC
rnacentral:rRNA from 1 species